AUUAAUGAUAUUACCCAUGUGUUUAUUCUGAUUAAACAUUCGUUCAGACAAUAUUUUCAACGUAACAUUCAAGGCGGAUAGACUUAAUAUUCGUUUAUUAUUUAAAUUACUGGUGAGUAAACGCUAUAUUUUAUAAACACUAAUAUUAUUGUGAUAAUUUAUUGCUAAAGGCUUGUAAAAUCUAAUUUAAUUUUUAUGAAUAUUCUUAUGCAUUGGUUAUUUGGAACUACAAGUUUUUGAUUAAUUAAUUUUUACAAGCCUAUAGAUUAUAUUUUAAUAAAUAUUAUAUUGGUAGAUUAUUUUCUUGUUUAGAACAGUUUAUGAACAUAAUCAGUAAUUCUUGUUUAGUAUCAGUCAAUAUUAAGACUUAUUUUUUCUUAGUAGUUUAAUACGUACUUAAAAAUACGUUUUCUCAUUAAUAAGUUUAAUGGGAGGACAAAAUAAAAUUUGCCUAGGGGCAGCAAUUAAAUCCGUCUCUUGACCAUAGUUAACGGUUUCUGUAAUUAAUGUAAAUAUCGAGUAUAAAUUAUUGGAUUUUAACAUAAAAUAAAUAUUAUUUCAUUAUGUUUAUAGAAUAUUAAAAUUUCUAUUGUUUUUAAAAAUGAAAUAUUGUUUUAUAGUAUUUAUUAAUAGCCCAAUACAAAAUAUUUUGGUUUUAACGCAAGCGAAUAAAAUAUAUCGUCAAUAUUUUAUGAACUUUAAAUUUUAAAUCCAAUCAAAAUUAAAUAAUUACCUAUAUAGUUUGAUUGGAAAAUGAUGUGUGGGUAUCGGCCAACCUAAUUAGAAAUUUAAGAACAAAAAAUCGUGCCUGUCUAUGUUUUCCCGUGCCUAUUACAAUUAACCAUUGUUGUCUUGUAAAAACCAAUAUAUAUCUAGCUCCGAGCUAAUUUAAAAAUAGGAAAAAAAAUGCGAAAUAUUUUCUUUUUAUUUGUUUAGGUCUACCAUAUUCAUUAAAUAUACCAGUUGGAAAAUAUAACAUUCCAGAAAAAUUACAUUCUGAAAAAUUUUUGAAAAUUGUAUGUCUACAAAAGGCCAAUAUAACUAUUUUGUUAAAACUACGGGUUUUACAAAAUUUCCUACGGUUUUUUUCCCGAUUUUUCGGUAAUUAUUACGAAAACAACUUUGUGUAUCAAAAAAAAAAAAAUAGAUUUUCUCAUCCAGUGACUAUAUAAUAAAAGUAACGAAAUCGAUUUCUUGUUAUUUUUUUGAUUAAAGCAAUAUACCUGGUAGACGCUGCAGUGAACUGUACAUAUUUGCCAUUUUACCUAUAAUUUUGUUUCUGGUUUUUCCCAAUUAUUCUGAAAAUCUCUUGGAAAAUUAAAAUAUGACUUCUUUAAUAUGCAAACUAGAGAAAAUUUCCUUCCAAAAAAUGCUAUAACUGAGCAAUAUUUUUUUUCGAAAAGUUGUUUAGACAGAAUAAAAAUACAUAUAGUAAAUCAACAGAUUCCUCGCUACUCUCAGAAUUUAAUAAUUUAUAAUUUUGACCAACUUUUAUUUCAGAAUUAAAAAAUGAGCACGCCACAGCCACUGCUGGCAUAGGCUCAGCAGUCCCCGUUGUCACCCCCAAAGCAGUCAAUGCAACAAAGGUAACUAUUACUAUUAUUUACCGGUCUUGUUAAAAAUACUUUUUGAAUUCGAAUUAUAUGCUGCUUUUACCUCUAGGAAAUCACCAAAAUUCAUGUAUAUGUAUUUAUAUCUUUAAAACCCUUGGUGAAAUUUUAUUAUCAAACGACAAUUUAUUAAAUUUUAUGAUGACACUGUAUAUAAUUACACAAUUUAAUUUCAUUAUAAUCACUACAAUAUUUUAAAUGUUACAGACGCUUCACAUAAAAAGAAAAUCUAGUUGUGAGAUCUUUAAUACACUUAUUACUUAUAUAUGGCGAACAUCGAUUACAUAUACAGUACACCUGUAUAAGGAAGCAGUAUGAGUUGAUGCAUACAGCAAUUAUUAUUAUAAUUAACAUCUUGAAGUACAUUGGAAAACAAAGUCUUAAUAUUUGUAUGUCUUGAAAACUAAGCCUAUGCUUGUGCUACAAAUGGCAAAUCUUUGAAGAAAAAAACCCAUAACCAUGUUAAUAUAGUAAAUGGUGACAAUAGGAGUCUGGGUGAUUCAAACCAUUUACCAGAAUAUGUGUGCUACAAAUAGUCCAAAGAGGUACAGAUCUGAUAACGACAAUUUAUGUUCAACAGUAUUAUCCUGAAUCAUCCGAGUAUUUGCAUGACAUAUAGGCUAUCGAUCAGUAGAGCAAAGUAGCAGUCAUAAUAUUGGAGCUCUUUAAAAUUGAAUAUUAAAAUCGACUUCCAAGGAAACCUAGAAAAUUUGUUAACAAAUGCAUACAAAUUUAAAUCGAAUAUGGGAAAGGUCUGAAAUGUAUGAAAUGUUGGUGUGCACAGGCUCCAUUAAAAAUUACUUAUCUUACUUUUAAUAGUUACUAAUCAUUAUUAUUAUAUUAUAUUAUAUUGAUUUUAGGGCCUUUGAUGAAAAAAGCUGCCAAAGGUGAACUUUUUGAUUGUUUUAAGGAGACACGAAUAUAAAAAAGUUAGUUAUUGUUAAUACAACAGAAUUUCUUCUACUAGAUUUCUACCAAAAUACAUAAAGCACUACAAGUAAUUCUUAUUUCAUUUUAAAGAAGCCCAAAUUAAAGCAAGCAAUUUUACACUUAUAAGAAAAGCAUGUAUAGUUAAUCUGGUUCAAUGAAAUGAUCUAAAUAUUCUUAUAUCUCCUAAAAUAAUUUUGUUUAUAUAUAUCCACCACAAUGAUUAUAUUGUUUUUAAUAGUUCUUAACUUCUGAAUUGUAAUUUAACGUUUAAUAAUAAUUUGAAAAGACAAAUUUUUAUAUUGUAUACUCUAAUGUUUAAAUAGUAUUAAAACAAUAUGCGUGCAUAGGGUAUACAUCCUGCAAAAAUGUGUGCCUACUUUAAAUUUUUGAUGAAAAAUUGUUUAAUUAUUUAAAACUGAUAAGUGUAACUGAGUAGGUAUAAUUAUUGCUAAAUAUACUAUAUAUUUACUAAAUAUAUUUCGCCAUGGGUAUAAUUUAUUCUGUAUCAUUAUUUUUUAGGAUGUUAAAAUUAAAUUUGUAUUGUAGUUAAUUGAAGAUUUUAACUCUGUUUAUCU